UGCGCAUAGACCAAGUUAAAAUGCCUUCUCUUCCUUUCCCCAAUACUGUUUUAUUUUAUUACUAAAAUUUAAAACCUAUUUCAAAAUCCCUUUUUUUCCUUAAAAAAGCAUUUUAACUUUGUUUUUUUUUUAAAAAAAACUUAGAACUUGAAAACUUUCCCCUUCUCCCCUUGUUUCCUGCCGAAAGGCUAAUAACCAAGCCUUCAACCGCCGCCGAGACCAACUACGACGGUCGGAGCAGGGCCUUCCAGUGGCGCGAGCGCGACGUAACUCCGGUAAGACUCCUCUCUUUUAUAACUCGUCUUUGUUUUGUAUCCGAAAAAAGGAGAAAAAUGGAAAAAAAAGAAGAAAAAAACAGAAAUAAAUUACAAUAAAUGAUCACCUUCAAAAUAUUCUUCUAGUUGUUCUCUACUGAUUUUGUGUUUCUUUCGUAUAAAAAAAAACCUCCCAAAAAAAAGAAUAUUCGUGGCUUUUUAUAGCCAUUUUUACAACGUUUACUUGCUAUUUUUUGCUCACGUCGUAGGUCACGAAGACGUGGAGGGAGAACAGGCGUGGGGAGUGCUACACGCGGGCUGGGGCGGACGUGUGAGGUGGAGUGUGUGGUGACUACCGGUGGCUGCGCAUGGAGUAGCCUAGGGUUUCUUAUUUUCUUUAUUUUGCUGGAAAAUUUUAAACUUUUGGGCUUGUAAUUUUGGGCUAAGGUUUGGGGGUUUUUUAUUGGGCCUAUUUGGGUUUUAUUUUCUGUUUAUUUAUUUGUGGGUAUUGGGCCAGGCAAAAAUUAAGUUUUACAAUUUUAUUUUUUAAUUAUUUUAAACAUCCUUUUAUAAAAAAAUAAUUAAUUAUUAAUAUGACACCUACAUUACAAUCCACAUAUAUAUCACCCAAUUAAUUAAUUAUUUAAAUUAUUUUAUAUAUAUUUUUAUAAAAAAAAUAAUUAAUUAAAAGGUAUUUUAGAAUACCUUAUUUCAAGUAAAUUAUUAUCAUCAUCAUUAUCAUAGUUCCAUCAUCGCCACCAACCAACCUUGAACCAUUGACCUUUAGGUUAAGAAGCAGAGAGCGCUACCACAAAUGGCAAGGAUGUUGGUGGCGUAUUGGUUGCACAAUUUAAUUUUUUAACUCUAAGGAAAAGGAAUAAUUCAUAGGCCACUCAACAGGG
rnacentral:lncRNA from 1 species